rnacentral:rRNA from 1 species
AUUGAACGCUGGCGGCAGGCCUAACACAUGCAAGUCGAACGAGUGGCGGACGGGGGAGGAAGGUCUGGGAAACUGCCUGAUGGAGGGGGAUAACUACUGGAAACGGUAGCUAAUACAGCAUACCAUCGGAUGUGCCCAGAGGGGAUUAGCUAGUAGGUGGGGUAAAGGCUCACCUAGGCGACGAUCCCUAGCUGGUCUGAGAGGAUGACCAGCCACACUGGAACUGAGACACGGUCCAGACUCCUACGGGAGGCAGCAGUGGGGAAUAGUGCACAAUGGGCGCAAGCCUGAUGCAGCCAUGCCGCGUGUAUGAAGAAGGCCUUCGGGUUGUAAAGUACUUUCAGCGGUGAGGCGUUACCCGCAGAGUCCGCACCGGUUAACUCCGUGCCAGCAGCCGCGGUCCUUC